rnacentral:rRNA from 1 species
UGGGGAAUAUUGGACAAUGGGCGCAAGCCUGAUCCAGCAAUGCCGCGUGUGUGAAGAAGGCCCUAGGGUUGUAAAGCACUUUCAGUUGGGAGGAAGGGGCUAUAGCUAAUAUCUAUAGUCAUUGACGCUACCAACAGAAGAAGCACCGGCUAACUCUGUGCCAGCAGCCGCGGUAAUACAGAGGGUGCGAGCGUUAAUCGGAAUUACUGGGCGUAAAGGGUGCGUAGGCGGUUAGAUAAGUUAGAUGUGAAAUCCCUAGGCUUAACCUGGGAGCUGCGUUUAAUACUGUAGAACUAGAGUACUGAAGAGGUUAGUGGAAUUUCCAGUGUAGCGGUGAAAUGCGUAGAUAUUGGAAGGAACACCAGUGGCGAAGGCGACUAGCUGGUCAGAUACUGACGCU